CUUGGAGCCUUUCCAGAUCAGUAGGUACUGUGAAAUGGGCAGCUCCGCACCACUGAGAGGGCACUGGAGGAUUUCAGUGGAGGCUUUUCUCCAUACCGGAUGUCCAAAAAAGAGACGAGAGAAAAGAUGCAGAGAUUAGACUCUGGAAUUCCCCAGUUCCAGUUGAUAUGUCUUGUCUUGCAAUGUUAGACCUGAAUGAAGAAGAACUUCUGUGACCUCUCUUGUCCCAGUGAGCAGUAAAUUCCACUCAUGGUCAGGCCAGGUUAACGUUCCGUGGGCAUUUGAUUUCUCCACUGGCUGAACACAGUAAAUAUCGAAGCUAGACCUCAUCCUGUAAUGUUAUGCCCAUUUCUGGGCUACGUUUUUGGAAGGACACUGACAAUCUCUGCGUGUGUACAAGAAGAAAUUGACCAGAAUAAUAAGGGGACUGGAAACUCUGCCCAAACAGGACCAGCUGAAGGGUCAUUGAUAAAAAUGGGAAACAACAAGGAACUAAACACAGAUCCAUGGGAAUCAUCACUGGAAAUGUUCAACAGAAACCUUCUGCUGAGUAUUAAUUGAGUCUUUGAAUUGAGUCAGAUCCCUAUCUAAUUAUAUUGUGAUCUAACCUACACCUCUUCAUAGUCUCCAAAGGAACAGUAGGAGAUAAUUGAUCAGAUG
rnacentral:lncRNA from 1 species